CCUCUAUCUUGCCAACUGACAGAACAGAGGUUUCCUAGCAGCAGGUGGGGAUGGCUUUCAUGGCUUUCGUAGCCGGUAGUCAAGGGCGCUGGAAUGGCUACCUGAAGAUGGGAGGGAAAAGAGCUCACAACAAGUAGUUCUUAGCUUCACACAGACGCGCACAGAUCGGCUGACUAGGACUCUGGCAGAAGCCGCUAAGGAAACAGCACUUGCUCUGUGAAGAAGAGCCUCCUAAGGGUCGUUUGUAAAAGCAACUUUGUGAUCCCUGAGAAGAAGCCGCGCGUUUGCCACUGAGCCUGAGGAACUUCAGGAGAGGACAGACAGGGAACUCAAGGGAUCCGAUAUUAGCAGGUGACCGUCAAUAGUAGAGGUCAGUAUUAUUCACGGAGAAGGGUGGAUAUAGACUGGGAGAAGGAGGGGAGAAAGGCAGGCUGCAUAAUCGGAGAGUAAGGAGAAACGAACGAGCAAGAAUGGGGGGGGGGGGGCUGGAACGAGAUGCUAAUGAAUGCAUGGAGAUUGGAGGGAGCCCCUCCCUCGACUGGGGAAAAGCGCCCGUGAUGCCCGAGCAUGUGUCUUCUCGGAAGGGCUUCGUCCCUCUUCCCGUUGGACGCGCUGGGUGCUCCCUGCAACAUCAUGUCAUGUCUGAGCCACAGGGAUGGGGAAGCUCGAGGAUAACGAGAGGGUGAUCCUCAACGUCGGCGGCACCAGGCACGAAACCUAUCGAAGCACCCUCAAGACUCUGCCGGGCACCCGCCUGGCUCUGCUCGCCUGCCAGUCCCAAGGCGAGUCCCCUGGCGGCGGAGAAGACCUGCCACUGCCGCUGCCGGCUCCCCUGCCGCUACUGCCCGCCCCUAACCCGGGCCCUGGCGCAGCCAAUCCUGGAGGAGGCUUCCCGGACGGAGCGGGCGGAAGCAGCUGCGGCAAUGGCGCCGCCGCUCCGAGUGGCGGGAACGGCGCGUGCUGCGAGUUCUUCUUCGACCGCCACCCGGGAGUCUUCGCCUACGUCCUCAACUACUACCGCACGGGCAAGUUGCACUGCCCCGCCGAUGUGUGCGGGCCGCUCUUCGAGGAGGAGUUGGCCUUCUGGGGCAUCGACGAGACCGACGUGGAGCCCUGCUGCUGGAUGACCUACAGGCAACACCGCGACGCCGAGGAGGCGCUCGACAUCUUCGAGGCGCCCGAUCUCAUCACCGGCGAGCCGCCGGGCGACCCAGACGACGACGACCUCGCCGCCAAGCGCCUGGGCUUCGAGGACAUGGGCGCCGUGGGGGCCUCCUCGUCGUCCUCCGCCAAUGGCUCUCCCCUCGACGGUCACGGUGGGCGCUGGAAGAGAUUGCAGCCGCGCAUGUGGGCGCUCUUCGAGGACCCCUACUCUUCCCGCGCCGCCAGGUUCAUUGCUUUUGGCUCUUUAUUCUUCAUCCUCCUUUCAAUCACAACCUUUUGCCUGGAAACCCAUGAAGCAUUUAAUACCAUCAUAAAUAAAACAGAUCCCACUCUCAACAGCACCGAAGUGAUUCUGCAGUAUGAAAUUGAGACAGAUCCUGCUCUGACAUAUGUUGAAGGAGUCUGUGUGGUGUGGUUUACAUUUGAAUUUUUAGUGCGUGUUGUGUUUUCACCCAACAAAAUUGAAUUCAUCAAAAACCUCUUGAAUAUCAUUGACUUUGUGGCAAUCUUGCCCUUCUAUCUAGAAGUGGGCCUCAGUGGGCUCUCCUCUAAAGCUGCUAAAGAUGUUCUUGGUUUCCUCAGGGUGGUGAGGUUUGUGAGAAUCCUGCGAAUCUUCAAGCUCACCCGACAUUUUGUAGGCCUCAGGGUGCUGGGUCACACAUUACGAGCGAGCACCAAUGAGUUUUUGCUGCUGAUAAUAUUUUUGGCAUUAGGAGUGUUGAUAUUUGCUACCAUGAUCUACUAUGCGGAGCGAAUAGGAGCCAAACCCAAUGACCCAUCAGCUAGUGCACACACAGAGUUUAAAAACAUCCCCAUUGGUUUCUGGUGGGCUGUGGUCACUAUGACCACUCUUGGGUAUGGAGACAUGUAUCCAAAGACAUGGUCAGGCAUGCUAGUGGGUGCUCUUUGUGCUUUGGCUGGGGUGCUGACGAUAGCUAUGCCUGUGCCUGUUAUUGUCAACAAUUUUGGAAUGUACUAUUCUCUAGCCAUGGCAAAGCAGAAGCUUCCAAGAAAGAGAAAGAAGCACAUACCACCUGCUCCUCAGGCAAAUUCCCCUACAUUUUGCAAGACAGACUUGAAUAUGGCCUGCAAUAGCACACAGGGGGAAAUCUGCCUUGGCAAAGAUAACCGGCUGAUGGAACACAAUAAAUCAGUGUUAUCAGGUGAAGACAGUACAGAAAGUGAACAGCCACUCUCACCUGUUGAAAGGCUCCCACCAAUGAGACGCUCUAGUACCAGAGACAAAAACAGAAGAGGGGGAACAUGUUUCCUACUGACAGCAGGUGAUUACGCGUGUGCUACUGAUGGAGGGAUCAGGAAAGGAUAUGAAAAGUCUCGAAGUUUAAACAACAUAGCUGGCAUGGCAGGCAAUGCUCUGAGACUGUCUCCAGUAACAUCACCCUACAGUUCACCUUGUCCUCUAAGACGCUCUCGAUCUCCCAUCCCAUCUAUCUUGUAAACCAGAUGACAUCAAUCGGCUAAGUAACAUUAUUGAAGUGCUGUUUAUCACUUUAUGGAAAGUGUAACAUUAACUGUAGUUUCCACUGAUACUAAUAUAAAUCUUGCAUGCUAUAAUUGACAGAAACAAGCAAUGCCACUGGGAUAGCCGAAGAUCCUUAUCUGAGUUUACAAUAUUCUCUAAAUGAGUGCUGUUUUCGUCUCACCUAUUUUGACCUACUCUACCAUGGCAAUAAAAGGACAGCUAAUGAACUUCACUGACCAGUAUAAAUAAAUGCACACACAUUUUUAAGAGAGAUAAUUAAAUAAAUGUGCUUCCAAUUGAUAAUCAUUUCACUGGACCUUCAUUUCUUGUGAUUCUAACCCAUUCUGAAGAUGUUUGAAAUCUUGUCUUGAUUGCAUACAGUGUCUCGUCAUUUUGAUCACUUGCAUGGACCAUACUGUCUCCAUCAUCUGAAAUAUGUCUUGCAAAUUAUUGGGACCACAGAUGACUCUGGAUUGUGUGUGUGUGUUGGGGGGGGGGUUGUGUGUGUACAUGUGUGUGUGUUUUUGCAUUGUACCAUUCUGCUGAAAUGAAAGCUGGUGAUCAAUCAGUCUGCAUGUGGGAUGGGGUUGUUUCUUGUGGGUCUUUUGUUGUUAUUUUUAUUUUAAUUUACUUUCAAUAAUGUUGUUACUUGAUUGGUUAGCUUUGGUGCUAGAGCGAUGUAUCAGAGUUCUGAAUGUUUCCGGUUGUUUACACACAGAUAACUGCAAAGAGGUUGUCAUUACUGGUUACACGCAAGCAGAGGCCAGAUCUCUUUCUUAAUGGCAUGGGAAGGCACAAAACAUGAAAGAAAGUGUUAUACAGAAUUUAUCAUGGAUUUUUGACUGCUGAAAAAAGGACACUGGAAUUUAGCCAUACCAAGGACUGUACUGGAAAGAGACUGAUCCUCCUGAAUGGGUCCUCAUAAGCACCUGAAACUUUGAAGAGCUUGUUAUGAGGAUUACAGAUGAAUUCCAAUUGCUGCUGCCAGCAGACGCAACUAUUAGUCACUAUUGAUGAGUCAGCUGUAAAUAAGAUGUGUGCAUGGAAUAUCAGCUUUAGUCAUCUAUGCCAAGGGAUGCUGAAUUCAAAGACAUCAUCUCUGAGACUUUGUGCAAAAAGGCCAAGACACCUCUUUAUGUAUUCUUCCUGGUCCCUACAGUAGAUCAUGCUGUGGAUCAUACAAAGGCACACAUGUUUUAACAAUAGUGAUGUAAAUGCUGUCUGUCGUAAGUUUCCUCAUAGCAACUGUAUUUUUGUAAAGUUUGUAAUUCAUGAACAUUAACUGCUUAGGAUUUUGCUAUAAGUCUUUGCUCAGUUUGCCAUUAUCUAUAUUUUUAUGAAUACUAGUGAAUAUGCCAACAUUUUGAUUAGUUUUGACUUGGAUAAAAGAUUUGUGACUUUAGAAAAAAAGUUUUUUAAAAAAUCACACUCUUUGUCCACAGUUCUAUAGGAACUUUUUAGUUUGUUUACUUCAUUAUUACCUCAAACUCUGAGUGCUGAGACAAAUAAAAUAUGGCAGUAAAAUAUUAUAGUUUUUUACUGAAACUAUCAGAAAAGCAACAUGAGUAAAUAUAAAAUAGGAAUUAAAUAUAUCCUAAAAAUGUAUAUUUUGCAUAAGAGAGAUAUUCUUUACCUUUUUGUCACUUUUGUGGUAAAUUGUUCUAGUCUAUUCUAUGUCUAUGAUGCUUUGUAGCUGGGUACUAUGUGAUAACUUAUGUUUUCUCUACCCUGUUCAAUGAGACCUUCUCCAGAAACUGUUUAUCACCCUGAUAUUUCAAAUGUAGGGACCUUUCCCACAUAUGAAACUCUGUAUUAUUGACCUUUUUGUGAACAUGUCAAGGUGCAUGCACAAGCCUGGUGGAAACCACUGGUCAUGUAACUAACAGAAAUGGAGAAUAAAAUGCAAAGAUCUGGGGAGGAAAUUGGAACACAUC